rnacentral:rRNA from 1 species
CUGACAUGCGUGCGAGUCGACGGGUUCUGAAACCUGGGAUGCGCAAGGAAGCUGACGAGCGGGAGGCCCUCACGGGCCGCACCGCUGGCCGACCCUGAUCUUCUGUGAAGGGUUCGAGUUGGAGCACGCCUGUCGGGACCCGAAAGAUGGUGAACUAUGCCUGAGCGGGGUGAAGCCAGAGGAAACUCUGGUGGAGGCUCGAAGCGAUACUGACGUGCAAAUCGUUCGUCUGACUUGGGUAUAGGGGCGAAAGACUAAUCGAACCAUCUAGUAGCUGG